rnacentral:rRNA from 1 species
UACGUAGGUGGCAAGCGUUGUCCGGAUUUACUGGGCGUAAAGCGAACGCAGGCGGACCUUUAAGUAGGAAGUGAAAAGGUUGGAGCUCAACUCUAACACUGCUCCCUAUACUGGAGGUCUUGAGUGCCGGAGAGGAAAGCGGAACAAGUUGUGUAGCGGUGAAAUGCGUUGAUAUAACUUGGAACACCAAUGGCGAAAGCAGCUUUCUGGACGGAUACUGAACCGCUCAGGUUCGAAAGCCAAGGUAGCAAACAGG